UGAGCAAUCUGCCCUUCUCAUCGGAAUAAGCGUUGGAAACGACGUCUAAUGCCGAAUACGACCUCCUUUCGCAUGAUCGGAGGCGGAAAGCUCCGGCGGAGAAGGAUGAGCUCGCGGCCUAUCAGCUAGUUGGUGUGGGUAACGCCCACCGAGGGCGAUGGACGGGUAGCCGGCCUGAGAGGGUGACCGGCCACACUGGGACUGAGACACGGCCCAGACCUCCGUACGGGAGCAG
rnacentral:rRNA from 1 species